GCCUCUGUAGCUCAGUCGGUAGAGCAGAGGACUGAAAAUCCUAGUGUCAGUGGGUCGAUUCCACUUCAAGCCACCA
rnacentral:tRNA from 1 species